UUGAGUCUGCUAAAAUAUUUUUAUUUAGGCUAUUAGAGAUGAUGAUAUAGAGUAACAAAAAAAGACAACAAAAAAACUUUCAUCAGAAUAUCAUCAGUUUACAAUCAUAUUUACAGACAUGUUACAUUAAGACAGAUUAAGGAAUAGAAAUCACUCUAGGCAUUGCAUUUUAUACAGACGGGAAUAUUUCAGCAUCCCGUGGUAAGAGAAACAUCUGGAGCAAAAAACAUGUAUGCAAGCCAGAGUGUGACCGUUGAACAUGCAAACGAAGACCUUUAAGCGCAUCACAUUAAUCAGAAACCUUGCAUUAUCAGAGGAUGAUUAAAGCGAGCACUUUAGGUUUCAUGUCAGCAACUCCAGCAAUCUAAAUCUUUCAAAUCCGGAUUGUCUGUUUGGCUUGUUAUUGUCUUCCUGAUUGUAAAUGUUUGUCAGUUUUAUCACAUCAUGCAAUGGAUCUGAUAUCUUUAAUAUUUCCAAAACACUCUAGAUUCAAUCCAGUGAUGGAUUUCAUUCUUACCAUGCGUCAGACUGCAGUAAUCAGGCAAAUUCAGUCUUUAAUGAUAAAAACGAACUUCACAGAAGCAACCGAAACUGGAUGAUGGAUUCAUCUAAUGCCACCAAUUCUGAAAAUAAUUGGUCAAAUACAUUUGAUAUUUUUAAACAAAAUAUCACUAACAUAACAUUUUCAAUGAAUUACCAUGUAAAUACCAUGGUACAUGAAUUUCAUGGUACUAGCACAGUAUCAAAAGUAUUUCACCCUAGAAUAGGAAAUAUAUUUAUUGUUAUUAAUAUAUAUAUGUUAAUAGUAUUAUAUUGUUUGGUAUCACUUUACAAUAAGGUUCCAUUUGUUAACAUUAGUUAAACUAACAAUGAAAAACACUAAUACAUUAUUAAAAGCAAAAGUUGUAUCUAUAAAUGUUAUUUUAUGGACCUGAGCUGACAUGGACUAACAAUGAACAGCUGUAUUUUACUAACGUUAACAAAGAUUAAUAAAUACUGCAACAAAUGUAUUGCUCAUUGUUAAUGUUAGAUGAUGCAUUAAAUAUAGUUAACAAAUGGAAACUUAUUGUAAAGUUACCUGAGAUUUUAUUUGAUAUCAUUCUUUAAUGUUUUAAGCACAUUUUCCCACAAAAUAUCAUUAAUGUAAAAAUUGCAUUUAUUUAUUUU
ensembl:lncRNA